rnacentral:rRNA from 1 species
GGCGUCCUACGGGGGGCAGCAGUGGGGAAUAUUGCACAAUGGGGGAAACCCUGAUGCAGCGACGCCGCGUGAGUGAGGAAGUAUUUCGGUAUGUAAAGCUCUAUCAGCAGGGAAGAAAAUGACGGUACCUGACUAAGAAGCCCCGGCUAACUACGUGCCAGCAGCCGCGGUAAUACGUAGGGGGCAAGCGUUAUCCGGAUUUAUUGGGUUUAAAGGGUGCGUAGGCGGGAUGCCAAGUCAGCGGUCAAAUACGGGGGCUCAACCUGCGUCCGCCGUUGAAACUGGCGUUCUUGAGUGGGCGAGAA